UAGGAUUCCCCAGGCUUUGAAUCCUGCCCAUCCAGCACAGUACCUCUUUUAAACUGCUACUCAUUAUUCAGGAAAGGUAUUAAAGAACAUUGCAGUCAGGACAACUUUGCUUAAAACAUGGUGUUUUCAGCUAAGCUUACCCAGGCAGAGCUUGGUGCAGCACACACUGACUGCAAACUGCCCAGAGGAGAGACAGCCUGGCAAAAAGUCACACAGCACAACCAACCAGCCAGGGCUUUCAUGACAAGCUACUGCUCCUUGGCAACAGACUCCAGAACUGCCAACAACAAGAGCUUCACCCCAGAACCACACAAAGAAAGAUAAAACUUCACCUGGACCUCCAUAUGGACACAAAGCCCUUGCUUCCAGCCCGCCAAAAUCAAAUAAAGUCUAUGAAACAAGUCACAACAUCAGUACCACACUUCAGCAAAUCACAUAACUUCCAGACAAUGCAUGGGUUUUAUGCAGAUUGUAUCUUAACACCACCUAACUAUGCACAGCUGUGCAGGAUUCAAGAAGUUUAGCAAGGAACCCUUUCAAUAACGUAAAUCAUGGCAAAAAAAACCCUAAAAAAACCAAAACAAUCAAACUUUCUCUGGUGGAGAAGCACACACUCCAUCAGGAAUGAGAUUAGCCCGAGAUGUGAGAAGGGAUUGGAGCUAUUCUGGCUCUGAGGAGGAACCAGCACUGUGGAUGAGAGUUCACAGAUGAGUGAGUACAAAGAAACUGUGUGGGAAGGAACAAGAGCUUGCACAGCACACAUCUGUCAGCUCUAUCAGAUUCCCAGCUCAAACUCCAGCAUCAAUAGACACCCCAUGGAUUUUGCAUGACUUGCUGAAGGUCUAUGCAACUGUAAAUUACCAUGCUGAUUGCACCAAUGUAUACAUAAAAAUCUCUAUUUCUGGGAGACAGAAUACAGAUAAUACUCCUCAUUUGAAUUUUCUUUGUGAUUAUUAAUGUAAAAAUUGAAGCAUCAUUUAAUAUUAGUUACUAACACAGUUAUAAAUAGUUAACUGCCACAGAACAUUGUGUGAAAGAAAGCAACCAAAUGGAAAGAUUUUCUGUGACAGGUCUGUGGGUUUAAUCCAUUCUGUGGCACACUGCAAACCUAUCAGAGAAACAGCAGCAUGUCAGGUGUGUGCUGGUUGUAACAAAGCUGCCACUGCACUACGUGGGACAUUGCUGAGCUGUGGGCCAUGUGCUGCAAAAUAACACAGCCCAGGUCUGCUUUCUCAAGGAAUAGUUUGGGGUGAAUGACAACCCUUAUCCUGCACAGGGACAGCCAAUCCAUAGCCUAGGGGAAACAAACCACUUUUUUUUAGUGAGGUGAGCUUUGGGUGACCCAUCCCUGCAGGAGCAUCACACCAGGGCAAGGUGAAGGAUGGUCACAGCCUCACCUGAAACAGCACCCAAACCCACCAGCCCCCCUUCUAUAGCUGGGCCACUGCUGAAUUCAAGUGAAGUCUUACCACUGAUGUCAGUGACAGUAAAAAUCACCGUUCUCAUGAAAACAGGGCUCCUUUGGGACCUCUAGAACAAAUGAGCCUGUGACACAGUGAGAACAUUUCUCCUGGCUUCACUCAGCCCUGGCCCAGGGCAGGAGUGUACAAAGAGCCCUUCACACCUGACCUAAAUUAGUCCACCAGGUUUGCAGACCCCUCCUCAAAUCUUCUUCCAAGCCCACUGAACAGCAGCGUGGUUGUACCUUCUGGAGGGAAGAGCAGCUUUGUUUUGUGCUUUCUUUAAAGAGAGAAGGUCCUCAGUUUAUCUGGGAUUUCUGGUUGUACAUCUUUGAAUUUAAGUGUUUAGUUAUCUUUGAAUUCAGAUCUUUAUGUGACCAUGGCAAAACUACAGUUAUAUCCUUUAUAUGUAUAAACGUAUAUACACUGAAAUUGGA